UGAAUACCAAGUCUCAAGAG
rnacentral:rRNA from 1 species